rnacentral:lncRNA from 13 species
UAAACAAGCUUUUACUACAGAUGGUUGAAUCUAUGGAUGUGAAAGCCACAGAUAUGGAAGACUGACUGUAUAUUCAUUCCAUCCUAACAGCCUCAACAGCCUUACUUGAUUUUGGCAUCAACUCUGAAGUCUAAAAUUCAAAACUUCAUCUAAGCAUUUUUUAAAUCAGAUAUGGGAAACUCUGGAUUUUGACCAUAUUGCCACCUUUGCUCUUCAGUGUGAAGCUUGA